rnacentral:rRNA from 1 species
UACAGAGGUCCCAAGCGUUGUUCGGAUUCACUGGGCGUAAAGGGUGCGUAGGCGGUCGGGUAAGUCUGACGUGAAAUCUUCAAGCUCAACUUGGAAACUGCGUCCGAUACUAUUCGGCUAGAGGAAUGGAGGGGGAGACUGGAAUACUUGGUGUAGCAGUGAAAAUGCGUAGAUAUCGGAAGGAACAUCAGUGGCGAAAGCGACUUCCUGGACCAAUACUGACGCUCAUGUGCGAAAGCGUGGGGAGCAAACAGG